GCGUUUUUUUUUUUUGUUUUUUUGGUAUAAACCCUUUUUUACGUGCUAUAAAUGACUUGCUAUGGAUUUGUAUGAAUGUUGGGUAGAGGAUCACUAAACAUUGCUUUGUCCCACAUGUUAAUGGGACAUUGUAAAUACAGCAAAAAGUCCUUAUACACACCGGAUGUACAGUACAAACA